GAUGAAGAACGCAGCGAAAUGCGAUAAGUAAUGUGAAUUGUAGAAUUCAGUGAAUCAUCGAAUCUUUGAACGCACCUUGCACCCUUUGGCAUUCCGAAGGGUAUGCUCGUUUGAGUGUCAUUGUACUCUCACACUUCCAAUCUUUGGAUUGGGAGCAGUGGACUUGGGUGUUGCUGCUUACUGUGGCUCACCUCAAAUCGAUUCGUGCACCUCUUGGUUGGACAUAGUACGGCGUGAUAAGUGUCUUCGCCGGCACCUCAGUAGAGGGUGGCUGAUCAGGAGCUCUGUGCUUCAAACCGUCCUCGGACAACAACUGACAACUUGACCUCAAAUCGAGUAGGACUACCCGCUGAACUUAAGCAUAUCAAUAAGCGGAGGA
rnacentral:misc_RNA from 1 species